ACUAAGUACAGCUUUGCACUAUUCAUCUCCAACGUUUGAUUGUUUGUCUUAUUUAAAACUUUUUUAUAAUUAAUAUUUUUAUUAUCAUUAGAUAUAAAAUAUAAACAGUAGGAUAUGUGCGACUUUUUUGUAAAUUUUUUAUAAAUUUUUCAAAUAAGAUGGACGGUCAAAUGUUAGACAUAUUAAUAGUUGCCUUUAUU
rfam:Oryza glumipatula chromosome 1, whole genome shotgun sequence.